UACGUAGGGACCAAGCGUUGUUCGGAUUUACUGGGCGUAAAGGGCGCGUAGGCGGCAAUUCAAGUCAGCUGUGAAAUCUCCGGGCUUAACUCGGAACGGUCAGAUGAUACUGCUUUGCUAGAGUGCGGAAGGGGCAAUCGGAAUUCUUGGUGUAGCGGUGAAAUGCGUAGAUAUCAAGAGGAACACCUGAGGUGAAGACGGGUUGCUGGGCCGACACUGACGCUGAGUGCGCGAAAGCCAGGGGAGCAAGCGGG
rnacentral:rRNA from 1 species